AGACACCGGUGAUUGACAGAAGGCCAUUACUACUAAAUAAAAAAUAAUCUGUAUGCAGAGCUCAGCGGGAUUCCGCUACAUAGUUGACAUGAAGGGAACAGUAUUUCUAUGUCAAAGUCACCAUGUAUUUCCCCAGGACCUGAGACAUGGAGGAAUCCAAAAUGUUUGGGUGUGAUUUUUGCCUCUCUACUUUUGAA